GACGAACGCUGGCGGCGUGCUUAACACAUGCAAGUCGAACGGAAAGGCCCUUCGGGGUACUCGAGUGGCGAACGGGUGAGUAACACGUGGGUGAUCUGCCCUGCACUUUGGGAUAAGCCUGGGAAACUGGGUCUAAUACCGAAUAGGACCACGCGCUUCAUGGUGUGUGGUGGAAAGCUUUUGCGGUGUGGGAUGGGCCCGCAGCCUAUCAGCUUGUUGGUGGGGUAAUGGCCUACCAAGGCGACGACGGGUAGCCGGCCUGAGAGGGUGACCGGCCACACUGGGACUGAGAUACGGCCCAGACUCCUACGGGAGGCAGCAGUGGGGAAUAUUGCACAAUGGGCGCAAGCCUGAUGCAGCGACGCCGCGUGAGGGAUGACGGCCUUCGGGUUGUAAACCUCUUUCAAUAGGGACGAAGCGCAAGUGACGGUACCUAUAGAAGAAGCACCGGCCAACUACGUG
rnacentral:rRNA from 1 species